rnacentral:rRNA from 1 species
CAGCCGCCGCGGUAAAACGGAGGGUGCAAGCGUUAAUCGGAAUUACUGGGCGUAAAGCGCACGCAGGCGGUCUGUCAAGUCAGAUGUGAAAUCCCCGGGCUUAACCUGGGAACUGCAUUUGAAACUGGCAGGCUAGAGUCUUGUAGAGGGGGGUAGAAUUCCAGGUGUAGCGGUGAAAUGCGUAGAGAUCUGGAGGAAUACCGGUGGCGAAGGCGGCCCCCUGGACAAAGACUGACGCUCAGGUGCGAAAGCGUGGGAGCAAACAGGAUUAGAUACCCCGGUAGUCCCUGUCUCUUAUACA